rnacentral:rRNA from 1 species
CCUACGGGAGGCAGCAGUGGGGGAUAUUGGACAAUGGGCGGAACCCUGAUCCAGCGACGCCGCGUGAGUGAAGAAGUCUUUCGGGUUGUAAACUUCUGUCAUCAGGGACGAAAGAAGUGACGGUACCUCACAAAUAAGCCCCGGCUAACUACGUGCCAGCAGCCGCGGUAAUACGUAGGUGGCAAGCGUUAUCGGGAAUUACUGGGUGUAAAGGGCGCGUAGGCGGUGAAGGAAGUCUGGAGUGAAAGGUCGGGGCACAACCCCGGGGCUGCAUUUGAAACUAUUGUACUUGAGUGCAGGAGAGGUAAGCGGAAUUCCGAGUGUAGCGGUGAAAUGCGUAGAUAUUAGGAGGAACACCAGUGGCGAAGGCGGAUUACUGGACUGUAACUGACGUUGAGGCGCGAAAGCGUGGGGAGCAAACAGGAUUAGAUACCCCAGUAGUC